GUGGGGAAUCUUCCGCAAUGGACGAAAGUCUGACGGAGCAACGCCGCGUGAGUGAUGAAGGUCUUCGGAUUGUAAAGCUCUGUUAAUCGGGACGAAAGAGCCUAGUGUGAAUAAUGCUAGGAAGUGACGGUACCGGAAUAGAAAGCCACGGCUAACUACGUGCCAGCAGCCGCGGUAAUACGUAGGUGGCAAGCGUUGUCCGGAAUUAUUGGGCGUAAAGCGCGCGCAGGCGGAUCUGCCAGUCAGUCUUAAAAGUUCGGGGCUUAACCCCGUGAUGGGAUGGAAACUACAGAUCUAGAGUAUCGGUGAGGAAAGUGGAAUUCCUAGUGUAGCGGUGAAAUGCGUAGAUAUUAGGAAGAACACCAGUGGCGAAGGCGACUUUCUGGACGAAAACUGACGCUGAGGCGCGAAAGCCAGGGGAGCGAACGGGAUUAGAUACCCGUGUAGUCC
rnacentral:rRNA from 1 species